rnacentral:rRNA from 1 species
AACAAACGCUGGCGGCAGGCCUAACACAUGCAAGUCGAGCGCCCCGCAAGGGGAGCGGCAGACGGGUGAGUAACGCGUGGGAAUCUACCUAGCUCUACGGAAUAACCCAGGGAAACUUGGACUAAUACCGUAUACGUCCUUCGGGAGAAAGAUUUAUCGGAGUUGGAUGAGCCCGCGUUGGAUUAGCUAGUUGGUGGGGUAAUGGCCUACCAAGGCAACGAUCCAUAGCUGGUCUGAGAGGAUGAUCAGCCACACUGGGACUGAGACACGGCCCAGACUCCUACGGGAGGCAGCAGUGGGGAAUAUUGGACAAUGGGCGAAAGCCUGAUCCAGCCAUGCCGCGUGAGUGAUGAAGGCCCUAGGGUUGUAAAGCUCUUUCACCGGUGAAGAUAAUGACGGUAACCGGAGAAGAAGCCCCGGCUAACUUCGUGCCAGCCGCCGCGGUAAAAC